ACUAUUCAAAAAAGGAUGCAAUGGAGAACAUUUACAGAGGACUGUGGGUAAAGCAAAGUCUUCAAGGGAAGAUAACAAAGGAUGAAACAAUGGUGUUGUGUGACUUCCUAGUGUGAAUCAUGGCAAUACAGUGAAAGACAGUGAUUUACUGCUUUUGAGGGCGUGCAUGUAUAUGAUUAACGGAUGGAAGUGCAGGACUCCAAGAUUUACUUCCUUCCCUUUCCAGCAGAAUUACCUGAGACGAGUAAAAUCUACUGGUGGAGUCACUCCAUUAUUCUUAUCUGUGGAGAUCUAGAUCUUGAUUUGAAAGUUUCUGAGAAAAUCUUCAGCUCAGACUUGAGGGUCAACUUUACCAGCUGAAGGAUCUGCAUUUACUGCUCAACCACAUCUAAUUUGAUGUCCUCUGCAGAUUUAAAAUGUGUGCCUUCUUUUCCGUCACCAAGUCAUCCCUGGGUUACUACUGAACAUCCUUCUCAAUUCCCCCCGACCCAUGGAUGGCUGUUCUCCAUUGUCUGUUUCACCAGAUGUCCUCAAAACAAACAGACAGAAGAAGGAAGUGGCUAAUGGAGCUGUGGAGUCCAAGUGUGACUGCCAAGAGGAAUCCAGCAAAGCCAAAAAGCCCAAGCAUGUAGCCCUGCCCGAAGCACGCCACACGCAUGGAAAACCCAGAGGAAAUGAGUGAGGAUCAAUGGGAAGAAGAGAGCCAGCCAGGUUCGAUGCCUUCUCCAUCCGUCAGUGAGGGUGUGGAGAGCCUGCAGGCGUGUGCCUCCCUCUGUAACUUGCUAUUCCUUGUGUAAUGUCAAGUGGAAGUGUGAAGCACCACAAACUGCUCUGAGCAGAGCCCACUUCCCUUCACCCACGGAGAGCGUGAAGCAGUUACACCAACAUCAAUCAAGGAAAACCCACAGGCUGAGCUCACACGGUUGAAGCAGGAAGUUGAAGAUUUGUCCAGGAGCAGAUAGCUGAAGAGAGAGAGAGAGAAGAGAGAACGGCUUACAGCUCAGGUCCUCUCUCCAUGCUUAGGAACCACUACAAAUGCUACUGCCUUGAGUCUCAUUUUGUUUCCCUCUGGAAACCACAUGUGUACCUUGUUUGCAACAGUAUGGGGCACCGAGGAAGAGAACCAAUGGCAGAGGCCACAUGUGCAAGCAAGAUGGGAGUCUGGAGAGCCUCAGGCUAAAUCACGAGUGCUCAGCCCUCUCCUCUUUGUAAGGGCAACCGGGUCAUAUCUGCCAGCAUAGAACUGCUCUGUCCACAGCCCUAAAAUCUAAUACCUAGAACAAUAAAUGCACUUAAGCACGUCAAA
ensembl:lncRNA CASC15 cancer susceptibility 15